rnacentral:lncRNA from 1 species
UGUUCUAGUCUUUUGAAGAUCUCUUCCAACUUUGGGUUCAUCCUCUCAGGAAAAGAGAAAACGUUUGGUACCCGAGACGCCCAGGUGGUUUGAGGCUCUUCUUUCAGCUUGCGCAAAAAAGUGAGCGAUGCAAUCUCCUCCAGUAUGUCUUCUGCAUCAUAGACAGCAUCUUUAAGCUCAUCGAGCCAGUUUUUCACAGCCUGAUUUUUCAUCUGCUUUUCCUCUGCGUCAUUCAGUACUGCCUCAAGGGACAACAGGGUUAUCUGUAGUUUCUUCAGCAUUUCAUCAUUGACACUGCCGCUAAAGAAGUUCAAUACCUCAGGAGAUGCC